rnacentral:rRNA from 1 species
GACGAACGCUGGCGGCGUGCUUAACACAUGCAAGUCGAACGGAAAGGCCCUGCUUUUGUGGGGUGCUCGAGUGGCGAACGGGUGAGUAACACGUGAGUAACCUGCCCUUGACUUUGGGAUAACUUCAGGAAACUGGGGCUAAUACCGGAUAGGAGCUCCUGCUGCAUGUUGGGGGUUGGAAAGUUUCGGCGGUUGGGGAUGGACUCGCGGCUUAUCAGCUUGUUGGUGGGGUAGUGGCUUACCAAGGCUUUGACGGGUAGCCGGCCUGGGAGGGUGACCGGCCACAUUGGGACUGAGAUACGGCCCAGACUCCUACGGGAGGCAGCAGUGGGGAAUAUUGCACAAUGGGCGGAAGCCUGAUGCAGCAACGCCGCGUGCGGGAUGACGGCCUUCUGGUUGUAAACCGCUUUCGCCUGUGACGAAGCGUGAGUGACGGUAAUGGGUAAAGAAGCACCGGCUAACUACGUG